UCACACCUUACGGUGGCAGUAUUCCCAGAGUGCCCAGCAUCACCUGAUGGCAACUAAGAAAAGGGGUUGCGCUCGUUAUGGCACUUAAGCCGACACCUCACGGCACGAGCUGACGACAACCAUGCAGCACCUCCACAGCUGCCCCGAAGGGCCUCAUCAUCUCUGAAUCGUUCAGCUGCAGUUCAAGCCCGGGUAAGGUUCCUCGCGUAUCAUCGAAUUAAACCACAUGUUCCUCCGCUUGUGCGGGCCCCCGUCAAUUCCUUUGAGUUUCACCGUUGCCGGCGUACUCCCCAGGUGGGAUGCUUAACGCUUUCGCUAAGCCACUGACCACAAAAGGCCAACAGCGAGCAUCCAUCGUUUACUGUGCGGACUAC
rnacentral:misc_RNA from 1 species